rnacentral:rRNA from 1 species
UUCGCAAUGCCCGAAAGGGUGACGAGGCGACGCCGCGUGGGUGAGGAAGGCCUUCGGGUUGUAAAGCCCUGUCAGGAGUUAAGAAAUGUAGACUCGCUAAUAUCGGGUCUAUUUGACAAAGGCUCCAAAGGAAGCCACGGCUAACUCUGUGCCAGCAGCCGCGGUAAUACAGAGGUGGCAAGCGUUGUUCGGAAUUAUUGGGCGUAAAGAGCACGUAGGUGGAUUUGUAAGUCAGACGUGAAAGCCUUCUGUUCAACGGAAGAAUUGCAUCUGAAACUACAAACCUUGAGUGUAGGAGGGGAGAAUGGAACUUCUGGUGGAGCGGUGAAGUGCGUAGAUAUCAGAAGGAACGCCGGCGGCGAAAGCGAUUCUCUGGCCUAUUACUGACACUCAGUGUGCGAAAGCUAGGGGAGCAAACGGGAUUAGAUACCCCGGUAGUCCUGGCCCUAAACGGUGGGCACUAAGUAGAGGGGUUUU